AGUUUGAUCCUGGCUCAGAUUGAACGCUGGCGGCAGGCCUAACACAUGCAAGUCGAGCGGUAGAGAGAAGCUUGCUUCUCUUGAGAGCGGCGGACGGGUGAGUAAUACCUAGGAAUCUGCCUGAUAGUGGGGGAUAACGUUCGGAAACGGACGCUAAUACCGCAUACGUCCUACGGGAGAAAGCAGGGGACCUUCGGGCCUUGCGCCAUCAGAUGAGCCUAGGUCGGAUUAGCUAGUUGGUGAGGUAAUGGCUCACCAAGGCUACGAUCCGUAACUGGUCUGAGAGGAUGAUCAGUCACACUGGAACUGAGACACGGUCCAGACUCCUACGGGAGGCAGCAGUGGGGAAUAUUGGACAAUGGGCGAAAGCCUGAUCCAGCCAUGCCGCGUGUGUGAAGAAGGUCUUCGGAUUGUAAAGCACUUUAAGUUGGGAGGAAGGGCAUUAACCUAAUACGUUGGUGUCUUGACGUUACCGACAGAAUAAGCACCGGCUAACUCUGUG
rnacentral:rRNA from 1 species